rnacentral:rRNA from 1 species
UACAGAGGGUGCGAGCGUUGUCCGGAAUUAUUGGGCGUAAAGGGCUCGUAGGCGGUUUGUCGCGUCGGGAGUGAAAACUCAGGGCUUAACCCUGAGCCUGCUUCCGAUACGGGCAGACUAGAGGUAUGCAGGGGAGAACGGAAUUCCUGGUGUAGCGGUGAAAUGCGCAGAUAUCUGGAGGAACACCGGUGGCGAAGGCGGCAUCCUGGACCAAUACUGACGCUGAGGAGCGAAAGCCAGGGGAGCAAACGGG